UAUCAGUCAUGCAUAGCAUAUCAAUAAGCGGAGGAAAAGAAACUAACAAGGAUUCCCUUAGUAACGGCGAGUGGAGCGGGAAGAGCUCAAAUUUGAAAUCUUCAAGGUUUUACCUUGACGAAUUGUAGUUUAAAGAAGGUGUUUUCUGUUGAAGUUUUGGUAAAAGUUCUUUGGAAUAGGACAUCAUAGAGGGUGAGAAUCCCGUAUUUGACCAUUACUUUCAGCUUUGUGAUACACUUUCAAAGAGUCGGAUUGUUUGGGAAUGCAGUCCAAAAUGGGUGGUAAAUUUCAUCUAAAGCUAAAUAUUGGCGAGAGACCGAUAGCGAACAAGUACCGUGAGGGAAAGAUGAAAAGAACUUUGAAAAGAGAGUUAAACAGUACGUGAAAUUGUCAAAAGGGAAGCGUUUGACACCAGUGUUGUUUUCUCGAAAAUCAAUUAAAAAGAGUUGGAUUUUGUGUUGUAUUGACUUUAUCAGCUUUCUUCACUCUUUUCCAGCUUUUUUUAAUGCACUUUUCGUUUAACAAGUCAACAUCAGUUUCUUUUGUUGUAAAAAGGUCAUUGGAAGGUGGCUUUCUCUUCGGAGAAAGUGUUUAUAGCCUUUGACUCAUGCAAUCGGAGAGACUGAGGUCUGCAGCGUAGAUCCUUCGGGGUUAGAUACAUUUGUGCUAAGUUAUAGCUUUUCAUAGACAACUUGUUGACUAUGUUUAGUCUUGUAGCUUACUCGCUUAUGCUAUUUUACCUACGCUUAGGAUGUUGAACUCUAUCACACACAG
rnacentral:rRNA from 1 species